UACAGAGGUCCCAAGCGUUGUUCGGAUUCAUUGGGCGUAAAGGGUGCGCAGCGGCGCGGUAGUCGGAUGGUGAAUACUCGGGCGUUCUAACUCCGAAAACUGCAUUCGAUACUGCCGUGCUUGAGGACUGGAGAGGAGACUGGAAUUUACGGUGUAGCGGUGAAAUGCGUAGAUAUCGUAAGGAAGACCAGUGGCGAAGGCGGGUCUCUGGACAGUUCCUGACGCUGAGGCACGAAGGUCAGGGGAGCAAACGGG
rnacentral:rRNA from 1 species